rnacentral:rRNA from 2 species
CAGCCGCCGCGGUAAAACCAGCACCUCAAGUGGUCAGGAUGAUUAUUGGGCCUAAAGCAUCCGUAGCCGGCUCUGUAAGUUUUCGGUUAAAUCUGUAUGCUCAACAUACAGGCUGCCGGGAAUACUGCAGAGCUAGGGAGUGGGAGAGGUAGACGGUACUCGGUAGGAAGGGGUAAAAUCCUUUGAUCUAUUGAUGAUCACCUGUGGCGAAGGCGGUCUACCAGAACACGUCCGACGGUGAGGGAUGAAAGCUGGGGGAGCAAACCGGAUUAGAUACCCGGGUAGUCCCAGCUGUAAACUAUGCAAACUCAGUGAUGCAUUGGCUUGUGGCCAAUGCAGUGCUGCAGGGAAGCCGUUAAGUUUGCCGCCUGGGAAGUACGUACGCAAGUAUGAAACUUAAAGGAAUUGGCGGGGGAGCAC